CCUACGGGAGGCAGCAGUGGGGAAUCUUGCGCAAUGGGCGAAAGCGUGACGCAGCAACGCCGCGUGCGGGAUGAAGGCCCUCGGGUUGUAAACCGCUUUCAGUGGGGACGAACCAAGACGGUACCCACAGAAGAAGCCCCGGCCAACUACGUGCCAGCAGCCGCGGUAACACGUAGGGGGCAAGCGUUGUCCGGAUUCAUUGGGCGUAAAGAGCUCGUAGGCGGUUCGAUAAGUCGGGUGUGAAACCUCCAGGCUCAACCUGGAGACGCCACCCGAUACUGUCGUGACUAGAGUCCAGUAGGGGAGCGUGGAAUUCCUGGUGUAGCGGUGAAAUGCGCAGAUAUCAGGAGGAACACCAGCGGCGAAGGCGGCGCUCUGGGCUGGAACUGACGCUGAGGAGCGAAAGCGUGGGGAGCGAACAGGAUUAGAUACCCUGGUAGUCCACGCCGUAAACGUUGGGUACUAGGUGUGGGGUCUUAUCAACGGAUUCCGUGCCGAAGCUAACGCAUUAAGUACCCCGCCUGGGGAGUACGGCCGCAAGGCUAAAACUCAAAGGAAUUGACGGGGGCCCGCACAAGCAGCGGAGCAUGUUGCUUAAUUCGAUGCAACGCGAAGAACCUUACA
rnacentral:rRNA from 1 species